rnacentral:rRNA from 1 species
AUGCGCCUACGGGGGGCAGCAGUAGGGAAUCUUCCACAAUGGGCGAAAGCCUGAUGGAGCGACGCCGCGUGGGUGAAGAAGGUCUUCGGAUCGUAAAACCCUGUUGUUAGAGAAGAAAGUGCGUGAGAGUAACUGUUCACGUUUCGACGGUAUCUAACCAGAAAGCCACGGCUAACUACGUGCCAGCAGCCGCGGUAAUACGUAGGUGGCAAGUGUUAUCCGGAUCUAUUGGGCGUACAGGGAACGCAGGCGGUCUUUUAAGUCUGAUGUGAAGGCCUUGCGCUUAACCGGAGUAGAG